rnacentral:rRNA from 1 species
UACGUAGGGUGCGAGCGUUGUCCGGAAUUAUUGGGCGUAAAGAGCGUGUAGGCGGCCAUGUAGGUCCGUUGUGAAAACUCGAGGCUCAACCUCGAGACGCCGAUGGAAACCAUGUGGCUAGAGUCCGGAAGAGGAGAGUGGAAUUCCUGGUGUAGCGGUGGAAUGCGCAGAUAUCAGGAGGAACACCCAUAGCGAAGGCAGCUCGCUGGGACGGUACUGACGCUAAGGCGCGAAAGCGUGGGGAGCGAACAGG